UCUAAUAUGGCAGAAUAUUGCAUUGAAUUUAAACUUCAAAUAUAAAGUAAACUUUUAUUAGAA
rnacentral:tRNA from 1 species